rnacentral:lncRNA from 1 species
GGAUGACAGUGGGCCCCAUUUUUCCUCAGGUGUGUACUGUGUAGUUGUAGGUUGUGUGUGUGUGGAUGACAGUGGGCCACAGGGGCGUACGUGUCAUCUAGAUCAGUUACCGAGUGCUAGCCCAGCGGUAGUAGUGUGUGUGUGAGUAGUUGAGGUCAGGGGUUUGAUCCCCCUGUACCUAUUUUUGUGAGCAUUUUUCCUCA